UGCAUAGAACAAAACUGAGGUGUACCUGCAGAGGAUAAACUCGAAGUACCAAGGUCCGAAUCCCGCAUCACGGACUAUUCGGAAUGGGAAGGUCAGGGUCAUUAUGAGGUCAGCUACCACUAUAUUUUUGAGGUAAAAUAUGAAGCUGGUUUUAUUCCGAAUGUGGAAGAAGAUCCACACGGCCAGACCGUUCAGCAGGAUGCUUGCCACAAAGAUAACUAGAUGUUGAUGCAGAGUUUGAGCACCUCAGCAUGCUUGUCAAGGAAUUUCUGAAAGACUUGCAAAGAAAAAAAUAGAUGAAUGGAUCAAGGCAGGCAUUCAAGGACGUCAGCCAUAGCGUGCUCUCCUUCACAUAGAACAGAGUGUUCUCUGCACUGCAGUCAAAGACAGCCCGGGUUUGGCUCAGGGUGUAGGGGAUCCGUGCAAAAUGGAAAGGAACAAAGCAAAUAAAGAACACAGCAAUGAUGAUGAAAA